GUCAAUAUUACGAGAAAAAAGUCGUAACUUUACGAGAAAAAAAGAAAAUAAAGCAUAAAAUUACUACUUUAUAUUAUGACUUUAUUCUCAUAAUAUUAUGACCUAAUUUUUUUCCUCAAUGUGGACCUAAUACUCGUACUCGUCGUACCUUUAAACCUACAACAAUCAUAAAUAAAAUUGAAAAUGUAAACAAAAAACAGUCAUUCAUUUCCACAAUUUUUUAAAAAAAAAUCCACAGGGAGCCACUGGAGAGGGGCUAAAGAGCCGCAUGUGGCUCCAGAUUCGCAGGUUGAAGACCCCAUCAGAAUGACUAGUUAGCACCCACAUGACUGUCCAGCCCCAGGUCUUGAGGCCACAAUCAAGUCUCUGCACAACGGGGUUUCCAUUCAGAUCUUCUGCACGGUUUCCUUAUGGUUCCUGCCCUGAAUCUGAACUUGUUCUAGCAGGCCUCGCGUCCUCUGCAAACUGUCAGUCAGGAAGUGGGCCCACACUUGGGGGUAAUUCAUUUUCAACAGAUGUUUAUCAGCUUGUUCAAAAUCACAAGAUCCCAAUACACUUGCACGUAUUCACAGAAAACCAGAGUGAGAUUGUUUCUCUCGACUCCAGUCGUUUCCUUUUGUUUCUGUUUUUGUCUCUCUUCCACCAAAUGUCUCUCCUUCCCCUCCUCUUGUAAUGUCUAUCUCUCGCUCUGUGUGGACUUUCUGUUAUCGCCACUGUGGACCAUUGUGGCCUAACCCCCACAUUUACAAGGCCUCACAAAGGACAAGGAUGGUGAUUGUUAUUGGCCACCCACAAGAUACAGUGCAGUGUACGGGCCUCGGUGACCGUGUGUCAUGUGUAUCGCUGCAUCUGGCUUUCACUUCUUUGUUCAUAGUUCAUAGUUGCACAAAGAAAGGCCCCAAUGUCAGUUUUUACUGUUUCAUCAACUCACGUUCCUGUACCAUCCAGCUCAGUGUGCAACAAACCACAACUUUCCCUGACAUUUCUCAAGUGAAUAAACUGUGACCUAGUUCAUUUUGUACCGAGACGAUGAAAGCUGAUGGAGCAAAUAACACCUCUCAAGUGAGAUCUUCUGCAAAAUCGUGUCCCAACACCACUUGUGAUGUCAUGGGGUAUAUGAUUUUUAUUUUUUAUUUAAUUUAAUUAUUAUUGUGUCAUGCAUAAAUAAUAUGCCCAGCCCAAAUGGGCAUAGAAGACACCAUUAUUUAGAAAAUAAAGAAAAGACAAAGGCAGAAACCAGAGUAGCGAUAUAAAUUACAAAUAAUACUAAACAAAUGAACCUGAUGUGUUUUUCAAAGCUUGAGAAACAAA